rnacentral:rRNA from 1 species
UACAGAGGGUGCGAGCGUUAAUCGGAAUUACUGGGCGUAAAGCGUGCGUAGACGGUUAUUUAAGUCGGAUGUGAAAGCCCCGGGCUCAACCCGGGAAUUGCAUUCGAGACUGAAUAGCUAGGGUGCGGUAGAGGGAAGCGGAAUUUCCGGUGUAGCGGUGAAAUGCGUAGAUAUCGGAAGGAACAUCAGUGGCGAAAGCGGCUUCCUGGACCGGCAUUGACGCUGAGGAGCGAAAGCCAGGGGAGCAAACGGG